rnacentral:rRNA from 1 species
UACGGAGGGUGCAAACGUUGCUCGGAAUCAUUGGGCGUAAAGCGCACGUAGGCGGUCCGGCAAGUCGGGUGUGAAAGCCCUCGGCUUAACCGAGGAAGUGCAUUCGAAACUACCGGACUUGAAUACUGGAGAGGGUCGCGGAAUUCCAGGUGUAGCGGUGAAAUGCGUAGAUAUCUGGAGGAACACCGGUGGCGAAGGCGGCAUCCUGGACCGGCAUUGACGCUGAGGCGCGAAAGCCAGGGGAGCAAACGGG